rnacentral:rRNA from 1 species
AGAGUUUGAUCAUGGCUCAGAAUCAACGCUGGCGGCGUGCCUAACACAUGCAAGUCGCACGAGAAAGGGUAGCAAUACCCGAGUAAAGUGGCGCACGGGUGAGUAACACGUGACUAACCUACCCUCGAGUGGGGAAUAACCUAGAGAAAUCUGGGCUAAUACCGCAUAACACUUACGAGUCAAAGCAGCAAUGCGCUUGGGGAGGGGGUCGCGGCCGAUUAGCUAGUUGGCGGGGUAAUGGCCCACCAAGGCGAUGAUCGGUAUCCGGCCUGAGAGGGCGCACGGACACACUGGAACUGAAACACGGUCCAGACUCCUACGGGAGGCAGCAGUGGGGAAUUUUGCGCAAUGGGGGAAACCCUGACGCAGCAACGCCGCGUGGAGGAUGAAAUAUCUUGGUAUGUAAACUCCUUUCGAUGGGGAAGAUUAUGACGGUACCCAUAGAAGAAGCCCCGGCUAACUUCGUGCCAGCAGCCGCGGUAAUACGAGGGGGGCAAGCGUUGUUCGGAUUUAUUGGGCGUAAAGGGUGCGUAGGCGGUUUGGCAAGUCUGAUGUGAAAUCUAUGGGCUCAACCCAUAGUCUGCAUCAGAAACUGCCGGGCUUGAGUAUGGGAGAGGUGAGUGGAAUUUCCGGUGUAGCGGUGAAAUGCGUAGAUAUCGGAAGGAACACCUGUGGCGAAAGCGGCUCACUGGACCAUUACUGACGCUGAUGUACGAAAGCUAGGGGAGCAAACAGGAUUAGAUACCCUAGUAGUCC